AUGCUAGUAGCAGAGUGGAAUGCUUCCCCUGCUCGUCCUACUCUCCUCUUUUACAAUCCAUCUCAACCCAAGGGCUUCAAUUGCGACGGCAAUUCACAACAAAUCCAGCAUAAGCCAAUGUCUGACAACAGCAUUCAGCGAGCAUUGCUACCUGAGAACCCCGAUGCCAAUGUGCUCCAAAGAAAGCCGUCGCAAGGAGCCAAGCGGUUCCGAAGAUGCAGGUCGGCUCCCAGAUCAGAGACCGAUGAAAAACCACAAGAAAAUGGCUCGUCGCUUCCAGCCAAGGAGUUGUUCAGCGUGGUACGGCCCAGCUUCAGACUAGUAGGGUUCCUCCUAUUUCUCUACCUGCUAGUUGGCGUCGUAGUCUUUUACCUUGUCAUGGAUCAGUUAUCUGGCAAGAGAACCAACAGAGUGCUCGACGCACUGUACUUCUGCAUUGUCACGAUGACAUCGGUGGGCUAUGGAGACCUUGUUCCUAACAGCGACACGACAAAGCUGCUCGCUUGUGUUUUCGUCUUCACCGGCAUGGCGAUUAUUGCUCUCUUCGUGAGCAAGUCGGCAGACUAUCUCGUCGAGAAGCAGGAGGUGUUGUUCUUCAAGGCACUGCACAUGAAUAUGAAGUGUGGCGAGGCCAGAAUGCUCAGACAAAUUGAGACAAACAAGACAAAGUACAAGUUCUACACGGCCGCUCUGCUUCUUGUGACGGCCAUUGUUGUGGGGACUGUUUUUCUCUGGAAGGUUGAGAAGCUGAGCCUUGUUGACUCCUUUUAUUGUGUCUGUGCCACAAUCACUACCUUGGGUUAUGGGGAUAAAAGCUUCUCGUCCCAACUGGGGCGCACUUUCGCGGUGUUUUGGAUAAUUACAAGCACCAUAAUUCUGGCGCUCUUCUUCAUGUACCUCGCCGAGAUCUACACCGAGCGACGGCAAAAGAUGCUGGCCAAAUGGGUUCUCACACGGAGAGUAACAACCAUGGAUCUUGAAGCAGCUGAUCUGGAUAAUGAUCGGAAAGUGGGUGCUGCUGAAUUUGUCGUGUACAAGCUCAAAGAACUGGGGAAGAUCAGCCAAGAGGACAUAUCUUCUUUUCUAGAGGAGUUUGACAAACUCGACGUUGACCAGUCCGGCACACUCUCCACAUAUGACCUUACUCAGGCACAAUCCGGUCAGUGA
rnacentral:rRNA from 1 species